UUCAAAGUGCUGGAUAGACAGCAGCUUCUG
rnacentral:piRNA from 1 species